rnacentral:rRNA from 1 species
GAACGGAGCGCCGGACACGGACUAUUUCGGUAGGAAGCGUGCGGAGGCUUAGUGGCGGACGGGUGAGUAACGCGUGGAUAACCUGCCGCAUACCGGGGGAUAACAGCUGGAAACAGCUGCUAAUACCGCAUAUGCCCGCAGUGCCGCAUGGCACAGCGGGGAAAACUCCGGUGGUAUGCGAUGGGUCCGCGUCUGAUUAGGCAGUUGGCGGGGUAACGGCCCACCAAACCGACGAUCAGUAGCCGGCCUGAGAGGGCGGACGGCCACACUGGGACUGAGACACGGCCCAGACUCCUGCGGGAGGCAGCAGUGGGGAAUAUUGCACAAUGGGGGAAACCCUGAUGCGGGGGGGGGGAAAAAAAAAAUANNNNNUNUCCCUCCCCCACACUUCUAUCAUCAGAAAAUAAAACAUACUAUACCUAACUAAUAAGCCCCUACUAACUACUUACCAACAUCCACAAUAAUACAUAAAAAUCAAACAUUAUCCAAAUUUACUUUUUUUAAAAUAAAUACAUACACCCAUACCAAACCCAAUAUAAAAAACACCAACAUAACCCCUCCACUACACUCCCAACUCUCACACUUUAUUCCCAUAACCCUAACCCCAAUUCCUNNUNUANCCNUNAAAUGGGUAGUUUUUGAGAGGAACACCGGCGGCGAAGGCGGCUUACGGACGGCAACNGACGNNGAGGCCCGAAAGCGUGGGGGGCCCUUGACGUUAGAUACCNNNNNAGUCCACGCAGUAAGGGACCCCUAUCGGUGUCGGAUAUCAAGGAUAUCCGGUUGCCGAAGCAAACGCAUUAAGUAUACCACCUGGGGAGUACGUUCGCAAGAAUGAAACUCAAAGGAAUUGACGGGGACCCGCACAAGCGGUGGAGCAUGUGGUUUAAUUCGAAGCAACGCGAAGAACCUUACCAGGCCUUGACAUCCCGAUGGCGUAGGCGUAACGGCUUAUUCCCCUCGGGGCAUCAGAGACAGGUGGUGCAUGGUUGUCGUCAGCUCGUGUCGUGAGAUGUUGGGUUAAGUCCCGCAACGAGCGCAACCCUUAUUCCCAGUAGCCAGCAUUUUGGAUGGGCACUCUGGGGAGACUGCCGGGGAAGACCCGGAGGAAGGCGGGGAUGACGUCAAAUCAUCAUGCCCCUUAUGGCCUGGGCUACACACGUGCUACAAUGGCGCAUACAAAGGGAGGCAAAGGAGCGAUCUGAAGCAAAUCCCAGAAAAGGCGCCCCAGUUCGGAUUGCAGCCUGCAACUCGGCUGCAUGAAGCUGGAAUCGCUAGUAAUCGCGGAU